UCAAGAAUCAGAUGUUUAACUGACUGAGCCACCCAGGCGCCCCCAGAAUCUACAUUUUCAAAUAGAUGGUGGGUAAAUUUAACGUUUUUGGCUGGGAAUCUCAAUAUGUGUAUUAUGUGAUCAAUUCAGGAGAUCACAUUGGAUAGUUAGGUUUAUUGAUGCAAUGAGAUGGCAGAGUAUUGCUAGAAGCAACUACAUUUUAAAGACACAUAGGUCCUGUCACACCGUCAGGGGCUGUGCUGUGCUCAUUAUUUGGUCAGUCUGUAUCCCUGGCGGAGUUGUGAGCCCCUGGAAAAGAGGGCUAUGUCGUUGAUCUGAGCACUCCUAGUACCCAGCUCAGUGCUUUGAGUAUUCAAUGUAUGUCUACUGAUUUUGGUCCACCUGCAUGUAUUAUGUGUGUAAAAGUCCUGUAGGAACAGCAUGAGCCAAUGCAGCCAUUCAAUACAAUGAGUCUCCGAACUUGAUUUCCAACCCAAGUUAUCACUGGAAUAAAAUGUGGCUCACCACCAAGCACUCACCUCUGACCACGGGCUUCCCUUAGGGGAUUCACCCGCACAAUGGGGAAAGGUUAUCUUAAUCAAUCGACUCUUAUCCUGCCAGUUGAACGUCCUUGCACACUUUCCACCUCUCUGCAUACUGUGGUUCACGUCUCUAGAAUGGAGAUGACUAUCUACUCAAGGUUUUGAUGGAGCAUGAAGUGAAUUAAAGACCGGAAGCACUUUGUAGUGUUGGCAUUGACGAGGAACUUGACAUGAGCUAGUUGCAUCCCCUAUGCUUCCUCCUCCCCUCCUUCCAGCUUCCGUCACUUCUGGACUGGCCUGAAGAGCCAUAACUGAAGAGAGAUAUGAAUUAUUAAUGCAGCUACUCCUUCAUCACUUACUUAACCCCAGCUGCGAGUUCUUAGUAGACAUUCCCUCUCAGCCUUUUUCCAGCUGGAGAAGCUCCACCCCUAGUUCCCAGUAUGCUGUCAUCAAUGCCAGGAGUCAGCAAAACACUACCCGCCGGCUAAGUCUAUCCCAUCACCUAUUUUUGUAAAUAAAAUUUUAUUGGAACACAA